rnacentral:rRNA from 1 species
UACGUAGGGGGCAAGCGUUGUCCGGAAUCAUUGGGCGUAAAGAGCGUGUAGGCGGUUCGGUAAGUCGGCUGUGAAAGUCCAGGGCUCAACCCUGGGAUGCCGGUCGAUACUGCCGGACUAGAGUUCGGAAGAGGCGAGUGGAAUUCCUGGUGUAGCGGUGAAAUGCGCAGAUAUCAGGAGGAACACCGAUUGCGAAGGCAGCUCGCUGGGACGUCACUGACGCUGAGACGCGAAAAGCGUGGGGAGCAAACAGG